UUCUGUUAUCUUUCUUAAGCUAACUUUAUUCUAUUAGCCAAUAAUACGCUAAUAUAAUAAGGAUGGAAUAUUACCUCCUUCCUGGAGGAGGCAAUGGAGCGAGUUUGGGUGACAUGACAGAGGAGCCUGUGGGUAGCAAAUCAUCGCUUGUUUCCUCUUCCAGAGCACCCACCCUACAACAAAGUGUUGGAGAGAGAGGGGAUCCUUGGAACAGCCCCACAUUCUGCAGGCAAAGGAAUGGAUGGGGCAGGGAGAGCAGUCAGACCCCACAGCUGGGCUUUGGGGUUCCCCUUCAGCCACGUGGGAGCAGUGCUGUGUGUGCACAUCGUGCCAGCAGGAGACAUGCCGUCAGCUGCAGUUUGGUGAUUGUUCUGGAUCCCUUGCCCCUCCAGAUCUUCAAGAAAAGACCUUAUUUAUGCUUUGACAUUUUCUUUGCUAGAGGAUUGUUCUUAAAAUGUUGUGGUUUGUGGAUAAAAUAUUGUUUAUGUAUAAAAUACCAUUGAAGUUCAGUUGGGUCCUGAGCUGACCUUGCCUAGCACUCCAAUCUUUCAGCUUUCAUUUGAUCUGCCUCCGAGUGUAAAACAUGCUGCUCCUCCUCCAUGCACUACAGAGAGCUUGCUUCCCAGUACAUACCUAAUUUGUAGCUAAUACUCUCAUUGUGGCUACUUUAAUAAGAGUACAGAUUUUUUUCUAAAUGAGAUGCAUAUGUGGCUUCUAAACUGGCAUUUUCUGUCUCAGCUUAAACUUUGCUCUUCAAGAUGCCACAUUGUACUUAAUUUCCUAUAUUCUUUUUCUAUUGAUUUCAUUCCUAGCCUUCAUCAAAAUAAUGCCAGAAGGGCGACUGGGACCUACCCUGCAGAGAAGGAGCAGAAGCCAUCUACUUACGCUGCUCUAUUGACCUUCUGCUUUGUGGAAUGCAUAUCUUGCAUGGGAUGCAGAGCUAUGAGGUGGUAUCAGCUCCUUCCAGGACAGGCUGGAAGCUCAGAAAACGACUGUCGCAUUCUUGCAUAGCCGCAGACACUGAGUACAAUAAAGGUCGAGCCCAAAUCCUGAUGGGGAACAAAGUUAUAACUCAAACAGCUGGAGUUGAGAAAGGCCACUGGCUCUGCUCCAGAAAGCCUGGCAUAUUCUGGUGUUUGUGGAAUAUCCUCUUGUUACUUACCAGGACACACUGCUGGGCCGAGAGCAAGCUUAUGAUGCCGAGGGAUCUCCUGGGUUUGGCUGGGGCAGAAAUACCUCGUGGUUUCUCUACAUCUGGGGGGAAUUAGUAAGUCCUGGAACACAUGAAGAUUAAUAAUAAGAAUAAAAAGCUUUCCUUCCACCCCCCGUCACCUCCUCCCACUGACACAAUUUAAAGAUUUAAAAUCAGUCUGUACCGCGGCCAGAGAUUGGAGUUAUGAUUGUAAUGUUUCCAUUUAGAACAAGGAAAUUGAAGUAGGGCAAUUAAUCAAUAACAAUAUGGGAAAGUACAAACUGAGACAGUCACUUGAAGCUCGCAUGCUUAGCUGGCUGAGGGGAAUUUUAGGAACUUCUGUCUCUUGCUGCCCUAUACGUUUUAUAUUACCAACUUCCAAGCACUGAGAGAAGCAGUGCUUUGUGUUUGUGCUGCUUCACCCAAACCCAUUCAUUUGCAGGGAGCGGAUACUUAAUUAUGAAUAAUCCCAAAGUGUUUCCCUGUCUGUUGUACAAACUGUGCACUCAGGCCCGUUUCAUGCAGCCAUGAAAUGCCAUCAUCCCUCAGGUGAAACAAAGCAACUCUUCAGCAGCACAAAGCAAGGCUGCACAGCAAUUUAGGAAAGGAAGUGAAGAAUAAUGGAUUCAUUUGAAACUGCAGGGGGAUUUUAACUAUGCAGAAUGCAAUUACCAGAACUGGAGUUUAUCCAGGACACUGGGGUUAAGACCCCAUCUAUUAUAAAAGAUGCCAUGGAAUUGCCAGCAUCCUUCCCUUCAUUUCCUAUGUGCUGCUCAUUGGGAUCCUGAGUGCACUCUGGAAGAGGCCAGUCCUGUUUACACUGUGAAAAAUGAUGGGACCUUGGGGUAAGGUGCAGAGGAAAAGGCAGUAUUUAUCUCAGACCCGAGCUUUCCUUUAACAUGCAAUACAAAAGCCUUUGUAUUAGAGAGGGAAAGGAAUGGCUCGAGUGUGUGACUGUCCAGAGCCAUGGAACCAGGGCAGCUCCUGGUCUGUGGUGCAAGUGAUGGGCUGCUGAGCAAACAGCAUGGAUUUACAGCCUAUGUUUCUCGUCAUAACCUUAACCUGGGAAUGGACUGUAUCCAGAUCGAGUUGAUGAAAGUGAGACUGUGAAUCCAUUUAAACAACCAAAUCCUUCCUAAUCUAGGACAGAAAUUCCACAGUUUGGUGGAGGCAGUAAAUGAAGGACAGUGUCUUCAGCUUGUUGGUUAGCAGAGAAGAGCGGUGUCACAGCCCAGAAGAUGUAAAUCUUGUCUGCAUUACAUCUGUUCAGAGCUGUCCCCAUCUGUCUGAGCUCUGGAGAGUUCCCUGACCCCUCAAACCCAACGGGUCCUCUGCUGCCUCUCCCUUGUGCACAUGGGCCUUCCCUUGUUUAGUAACUUCAAUUGACAAAUAAUAAGCUGUUUCUCCUGCAACAUUUACACCCUGGUGGAAGCACAGAGAAAAAGCAGAUAUGCCACAGGCUCGAUUUUAAAGGAGACAAGAAGGAAGUGGAGCAGCACAGCUGAGCAUGGUGUCCAUGCAUGGGAGCUACGAAUGGGGCAGGUAAGCAGUAGCGUAUGGUGUAUGAGAGGCAAUUUGUAUUCAGAUGUGUAUAUUCUUAAGUCCCAUAAUAAUAAAUGUUGUAUGUCAGUGCUCAACAUAUCUACUUCCAGGCAUUUGGAUGAUUAAAUUGAGAGUUGGUAAGUCCUGUGUCCUUUUGCCUAGAGAUUCAGGUAUUAGAUAUGCUCAGUGCUAGAAGUGCUUGCCCCUCUUGCCUUCUUUCCAUUUACAGUUGAGAGUGUUUAAGUCUCCUUUAAAUUUAUAUCAUUAGCUACCUGUAAUUAUUGCGUAUUUAAGUCUGGUGAGAACAGACGUAUAAAUAAAAGAAGGAAACAUCACGGUGAAUAUGGA